GGUUGCGUGGUGUAAGGGUCAUCACUGCAGAUUCUGAUAGAGAAGGCCGUUGAAAUCCUGAAAUUCUGCCAAUCCCGGUUUGAUUCCGGGCGCGACCU